AGAGCCAACGGUGGAUGCCUUGGCGCCAAGAACCGAUGAAGGACGUGAGUGACUGCGAAAAGCUGCGGGGAGCCGUCUACUAGGCACUGAUCCGCAGAUGUCCGAAUGGGGAAACCCAGCACUCGUCAUGGAGUGUUACCGCUGCCUGAACACAUAGGGCAGUAGGAGGGAACCGGGGGAAUUGAAACAUCUCAGUACCCCGAGGAAAGGAAAGCAACCGCGACACCCUGAGUAGCGGCGAGCGAAAAGGGUAGAGACCAAACCGUGCCAGUGCCAAGCCUGAUGGCGUUGCUGGUGCGGGGUAGUGGGACCAGGAGACACAGCAUCAGAUGUGUCACGAAUUACAAGUGCUGCAUAGGAGAACGACUCAGGAAAGGGUCGGCCAGAGUGGGUAACAGCCCCGUAUCCGAAAUGUACGCACUAUUCGCCUGCCAUCCCAAGUAACGCCGGAACCGAGAAAGCCGGCGUGAAUCUGUGGGGACCACCCCAUAAGUCUAAGUAUUCCUUGGCGACCGAUAGUGAACCAGUACCGUGAGGGAAAGGUGAAAAGUACCCCGGGAGGGGAGUGAAAUAGUACCUGAAACCGUUGGUUUACAAACAGUCAGAGCGUCGUCAUGCCUUCGGGUAUGGCCGCGAUGGCGUGCCUUUUGAAGAAUGAGCCUGCGAGUUACGGUGUGUGGCAAGGUUAACCAGUGAUGGGAAGCCGAAGCGAAAGCGAGUCUGAAUAGGGCGUAGAGUCGCAUGCUGUAGACCCGAAGCCAAGUGAUCUAUCCAUGGCCAGGUUGAAGCGGAGGUAAGACUCCGUGGAGGACCGAACCCACGUCAGUUAAAAAUGGCGGGGAUGAGCUGUGGAUAGGGGUGAAAGGCCAAUCAAACUUGGCGAUAGCUGGUUCUCCUCGAAAUGCAUUUAGGUGCAGCGUCGCGUGUUCAGUACCGGAGGUAGAGCACUGAAUGGGUAAGGGGACCUACAAGUCUACCAACCCCAAUCAAACUCCGAAUGCCGGUACUCCAGAGCGCGGCAGUGAGACCACGAGGGAUGAGCUUCGUUGGUCGAAAGGGAAACAGCCCAGAUCAUCAGCUAAGGCCCCUAAUUCAGGACUAAGUGGAAAACGAUGUGGGAUUGCACAGACAGCCAGGAGGUUGGCUUAGAAGCAGCCACCCUUGAAAGAGUGCGUAAUAGCUCACUGGUCGAGUGAUCCUGCGCGGACAAUGUAACGGGGCUCAAGUCCUGAGCCGAAGCUAUGGGUUUCGAUGAGACUUCGGUCGAUUCGGAGCGGUAGAGGAGCGUCGAUGGUGCAGUGAAGCGGCGGUGGAAACCAGCCGUGGAGCGCCAUCGAGUGAGAAUGCAGGCAUGAGUAACGAGAGAGGGGUGAGAAACCCCUCCGCCGAAAGCCCAAGGGUUCCUGGGGAAGGCUAAUCCCCCCAGGGUGAGUCGGGAGCUAAGGCGAGGCCGAAAGGCGUAGUCGAUGCACAACUGGUUGAUAUUCCAGUACCACCGUGUUCGCGCCAAGUCCAAGAGCCGCAACGUUGGGGCUGUUACCUUCGGGUAGCGAGCCGACCGAGUAGCUGGCGGAUAGUUGACGGGGGACGCAGGAGGAUAGGUGAACCCGGGCGAUGGUAGUCCCGGGGUAAGCGUGUAGGCGGGUUCCGAUGAGAGUUGGGGCCGUAACGCUGAGACGUGAUGCCGAGCGAUAUACCGCGAAGUCACUGAUUCCAUGCUGCCAAGAAAAGCCCAGCAACGAGUUGACACGGUGCCCGUACCCCAUACCGACACAGGUGGGCGGGUAGAGAAUACCAAGGCGAGCGGGAGAACUAUGGUUAAGGAACUCGGCAAAUUACCUCCGUAACUUCGGAAGAAGGAGGACCCUUUUUGGUGAAAGCCUUUACGGCUCGAGCUGAGGAGGGUGGCACAGACCAGGGGGUAGCGACUGUUUACCAAAAACACAGCAGCGUGCGAAGCCGCAAGGCGCUGUAUACGCUGUGACGCCUGCCCAAUGCUUGAAGGUCACGGGGAACGGUUAGCUCUUCGGAGCGAAGCUGUGAACCUAAGCCCAAGUGAAUGGCGGCCGUAACUAUAACGGUCCUAAGGUAGCGAAAUUCCUUGUCGGGUAAGUUCCGACCUGCACGAAUGGCGUAACGACUUCCCCACUGUCUCAACCAUAGACCCGGUGAAAUUGAAGUACGAGUAAAGAUGCUCGUUAGCUGCGGAAGGACGGAAAGACCCCGUGGACCUUUACUAUAACUUGGUGUUGAGUUUUGAAUUGCGUUGUGUAGGAUAGGUGGGAGACUUGGAAGCAUUGGCGCUAGCCAGUGUGGAGUCGUCGUUGAAAUACCACCCUGCGUACUUUGGAGCUCUAACCUCGGUCCGUGAUCCGGAUCAGGGACAGCGCCAGGCGGGUAGUUUGACUGGGGCGGUCGCCUCCUAAAGAGUAACGGAGGCGCCCAAAGGUUCCCUCAGGCUGGUUGGCAAUCAGCCGUCGAGUGCAAUGACACAAGGGAGCUUGACUGCGAGACCUACAAGUCGAGCAGGUACGAAAGUAGGGCAUAGUGACCCGGCCAUCACGUGUGGAAGUGUGGUCGCUCAACGGAUAAAAGGUACCCCGGGGAUAACAGGCUAAUCUUCCCCAAGAGUCCAUAUCGACGGGAAGGUUUGGCACCUCGAUGUCGGCUCAUCGCAUCCUGGGGCUGAAGCAGGUCCCAAGGGUUGGGCUGUUCGCCCAUUAAAGCGGUACGCGAGCUGGGUUCAGAACGUCGUGAGACAGUUCGGUCCCUAUCCUCCGCAGCCGAAGGAAUAUUGACAACUGCUGUCCUUAGUACGAGAGGACCGGGACGGACGUAGCUCUGGUGUGUCUGUUGUUUCGCCAGAAGCAUCGCAGAUUUGCUACCUACGGAAGGGAUAACCGCUGAAAGCAUCUAAGUGGGAAACCCGGUUGAAGAUGAGUAUUCCCAUGCGGUCAACGCAGUAAGGCCCGUGACGAGACCAUCACGUUGAUAGGCCGGAAGUGUAAGCGUGGUAACACGUUCAGCUGACCGGUACUAAUCGGCCGAGGGCUUGGUUU
rnacentral:rRNA from 1 species